UUAAAUUUAAACUUUGACUGUCACGUGUCACAUCUUGACUGGACAUGAAAAGGUACGUCCAAGAACUAAUUCUAAUAUUUUUUUGUUUAUCAUCCAAUCAGAACCUAAUACGCGACGAUUUGAACAUUU
rfam:Glycine max cultivar Williams 82 chromosome 10, whole genome shotgun sequence.